rnacentral:lncRNA from 1 species
UUUUUUUUCUUUUUAACAGUGUAUAAACUUUUAGAGUAAACACUGAAAAGGAUCACAGGACUGCCUAACCACAACAUCAGCAAACUUUAGGGAGUUGGGGGAAUAUAAGGUCAUGGUACUGUCCAGCUUUGGGAUGUUUCCUGUCUCCAGGAGGGCUGGGAAGACAUCAAACAGAAACUCCUCCAGUGCAUCAUUCCCAGAAGUGGCCAGGGCCAGGUUGUGGGAAGUAGCUGGAGAGGAAAGAGUGUCCUUUUUGUCUCCUGGACAGCUGGGGUGUGUUUGGCAGGCCAGGUGGUAGAGUUGAUACUGUGUUUCCCAUUGUGCUUUGGCUGCCAAUUUUCCUUUUUGAAACUGGGACACUGCACUGUGGCAGGAGUGAAGGGAAGCAGGUGAGGUUUAGGAUUUUUUUUUCUGUCUGUCCUCUCCUGAGGCUUUUACCUCCUUGUCAGUGUUUUCACUGCUGUGAUCUUUACCUGCUAGCAUUACCCUGCUGCUGUCCCACUAAACCUGUGCCCAUGGCCAGGUUUCUGCUGGUGCCGGCAGCGGGAGCUGAGGAUGCUCUGUUGCCUGGCUGGCAGUGCUCAGGAAGGCUGGAGGGAAACAGGUGUCUCAUAUGAUGGAAUAAAAUGAAAAAAAUACUCUCUAAGCAGCAACUUCAGGUCAUUCAGUGACAUCUGAAAGCCAUGGGGGGAAAAAAAAGUCCUAAAACGUUGGAUGAAAUGAAGAAUGGAAAUCAGCAAAGUGUAUUUUUCCAGUUCUGAUUGGUUUUCCGAGAUCUCACCUAUUGCUGAUUUGUCUCCCCACUCCUACCACUCUUUCAUUUAUCAAAUAAAUGAAAGGGUUUGGGGUGAGUCCAGUAGUCCUGAGCUGUGGAUGUUGGUGUUUAUAAGCUCCACGUGCCUCCCAAUUUCGUGGCUCGUGUGGCGGGGGAUAGCAGGAGUCCGCUUGCUCCUUGAGUUAAUAUUUGCCAAUGGGGCUAAGAUGUAGAAGUCAAACUUUCAUCUUUCCUGCUGGUUACUCAGCCCACCUCAUACUCAAACACCUGGCCCCACCUGGGCAAAUAUUUGCAAUGAGUAGCUCAGGGCAUGUCCCACCAGGCUGGGAGCUGGGGCUGGGGCUGGGCAAGCAUUGGUGAUGCUGUUAUUCUUCUCCUGGUGGUCCCUGUGCUGCUUGGCUGAGCCAGGAGGUGUGAAAGGGAAAUCCUAAGCCAUAAAAAGCUGAGGAAUUUUUUUUUUUUUUUUCCCCUGCUCUAUUAGAGAAACUACAAUUUGGUGGCAGGGAGAAUGGGUUUGAGGAAACCUCUGUAUGUUUUGUGGAAGGAGCCAAAAGCCAACGUUUUAGGGGACGGGUUUGAGCCUGGUGGCCCUGGGCAGUGUGGGAGCCCAGUGACUGCAGCCUUUAUGAGUGGAAAAAAAGAUGAAGUGAGAAAGUUUGUGAUAAAGCAGGGAGGCAGUUAAGAGGAGGAAAUGAGGGUGCUUGGCAUGUAACCUUGGCCAGGCUCUGCUCCCCCACGACGAGCCAAAAAUAGAUUUCUCUGGAGGCAGGGCAGCCCAGGGUAAAGCGGAAUGAUGAACUGGAGUGAUGCAGCCAGGGCACAGAGGAUCAGGGGGGAGCAGGACAGAGAUGUUAUGCUCAGCCAGGGGCAUCCUGCUGCUUUAUUUGGGGCAGUUUUGUUCUCCCUUUCCAGGGGUUUCCUCUGGAACCCGGCCCCCAUACUUUGCCCUUUCCAUGCCCUCUGUCAGCUCAGUGGGGCUCCAUCCCAGCCUCUGGUACAGCUGCAGGAGUGGGGAGGAAGUUAUUUGCAUUGAUCUGAAAACUCAGGAAUUCUCUAACACUGUGUGACAGCUUAAAACACAGAAACCCCCUUCCUGUGGGGUAAUCACUGAGAGCUGGCUGGGACAAUUAUCACAAAAUCUUAGCUAUUAGUCCCAUAUUACUGGUGUCCUUUAGAAGAGGGAAUUUUUCUUCAGCCAAGGACAGGUGGCACUGACUGGCAUUUACCACCCAGGAUGGGUUUAUCUGAGCUUCUCUGGAGGUGUUGUAACCAGGGUUGCUACAGCAGGGAUAAACUGCUUUCAAUUCCUUGUUUCCUCAAUCCAUUCAUUGGCUAUCGGACAUUUGUAGUGUAGUGCGGAGUCCUGCUGGCCUUUGGAGCCCGGAAAUAACCUCCAAACGGAGCAAAAGGAGUUAAAUGGCUUGGCAGGCAGCCAGGAUGACUAAGUCAUUCUUCCAGCCUUACUGGAGCAGGAGUCAGGCGUGGAACCGGACACAUUUCCCAUAAUUGGAAACCCCUGGUCAGAACUGCGGGAUCCGGGGCUGCAGCAAAAGCCCUCGUGGAACGUGAGCGGCCUGGGAGGCCACGGGCAGGGCACUCCAGAAGGGACCUGCAUGUCCAUGACUGUGCCUGUUUGCAAGAGCAGUAACCCAAGGACACAAAUAGAAAAUCACACAUUUGGCCAAAAUACUGGAAAACGAGGCUGGAGUUUCCGACACAGACACUGCCAGCCCCCUUUCAUUGCCAAGGCUUCUCUAAAAGCCUUUUUGGACUCCCUUAGGCACAUCUCCAGCCUUAACUUUCCUCAUGAGACCUUGAAGUGAGAAGCUAUGUGACAGCAGGAGGAAAAAUGUUUGAUUUCAGUGAGAAUACCUCUUUUUUUCCUGCCGUGGAGGACAGGACUUACCUGUGGGCACUCCAGCAACACGUGGCAACAGCCAAGCACCCUGUGGGAGCCGUGUGGGUGCUUCAGCACCCACAGCUCAUCUAACACCCAUUCAGCCACCCUGUCGGCACCACUUGGCCCACGGCACCACUGGAACCCAUCAUCACCGCCGGAUGCUGCUGGGAAAUGGCAGUGGAAAAAGAAAACCAGCACCCCCUGGGCUGGUCCCCUGGGUGGAGGUGUCCAUGGCACUGGGAAUUUUGGCUCUGGCUGGCCUCUGAGCACAUUUCUUUGCAGCACACCCAGCCGCAGCCUCUCCCAUGGAUGAUAAGGAGCUUGACCUUUAUCUUUGGUGACUCACGGCUGCUCCUGUUUCACUUGCCUGUCAAGGGCCGGUUGUCUCCUCCACGGGAAAACUCUUUGAGUGUUGACCAGGGCCAGGAGAAGCACAACCACACCCACAGCCAGAAAUCCCCUUUAGCUACAGCCAUUCCACCACUUAUCGUCCUUUGGCGCUUCUGCUGUGAAGCCAGACUCUAACAGUGAUGGCUGCUCACAGAUGGGAUGAGGAUGAGGAUGAGGAUGAGGAUGAGGAUGAGGAUGAGGAUGAGGAUGAGGCUGAGGCUGCCCCAAGGGAAGGGCACCCUCUUCCCCAGCCUGAACUGCAGGAAAGCGGUUUUCUUUCAUUCUCUGCAAGCAGUUGCUGCAUGUCAUCUUGGAUCAAGUGAUUUCUCAUCCAGCAGUAAUGAGAGAAGAAAGGGGGGAAAGGCCUUCAUCUUGUGAGAAAGCUGGGUACUGGGAUGGAGAAGCAGCUGUCUCUGUGGGAGCAGACUGCACUUCUCUGGGAGAUAACAGGUUGUGGGUCACUGUAAAGCAGUCCCCUCCACAAACCAUGCUGUGAUUGAUGACUGCUGCGGGUAGUGAGGGCGAUGAGCUUUUGUGGAGCAUCUGGGACCCCAGGGCAAAGGAAGUGGGAAGGCAGGGAGGAGGUUUGUGCUUGCAGGGGGCUGGCACGGAGCCUGCAGGGAAUCUCAGCCUCAACCUUCAAAGGGAGGAGGCUGCUGGCUCAGUGCUGACUGUCCCAGCUCCCACCCGGGUGUUUAAAAAGGCAGGUUUCACUUCUCCCCGCUUAAAGGCGACCUUGUUCUCC